AGUGAACGCUGGCGGUAGGCCUAACACAUGCAAGUCGAACGGCAGCACAGUAAGAGCUUGCUCUUACGGGUGGCGAGUGGCGGACGGGUGAGGAAUACAUCGGAAUCUACUUUUUCGUGGGGGAUAACGUAGGGAAACUUACGCUAAUACCGCAUACGACCUACGGGUGAAAGCAGGGGAUCUUUGGACCUUGCGCGAUUGAAUGAGCCGAUGUCGGAUUAGCUAGUUGGCGGGGUAAAGGCCCACCAAGGCGACGAUCCGUAGCUGGUCUGAGAGGAUGAUCAGCCACACUGGAGCUGAGACACGGUCCAGACUCCUACGGGAGGCAGCAGUGGGGAAUAUUGGACAAUGGGCGCAAGCCUGAUCCAGCCAUACCGCGUGGGUGAAGAAGGCCUUCGGGUUGUAAAGCCCUUUUGUUGGGAAAGAAAAGCAGCAGGUUAAUACCCCGCUGUUCUGACGGUACCCAAAGAAUAAGCACCGGCUAACUUCGUG
rnacentral:rRNA from 1 species